rnacentral:tRNA from 1 species
AUUUAUAUAGUUUAAAAAAAACAUUAUAUUUUCAAUAUAAAAUUAUUAAUAUAUUUUAUUUAAUUAUAAAUA